rnacentral:rRNA from 1 species
UACGUAGGUGGCAAGCGUUGUCCGGAAUUAUUGGGCGUAAAGCGCGCGCAGGCGGUUCUUUAAGUCUGAUGUGAAAGCCCCCGGCUCAACCGGGGAGGGUCAUUGGAAACUGGGGAACUUGAGUGCAGGAGAGAAGAGUGGAAUUCCACGUGUAGCGGUGAAAUGCGUAGAUAUCUGGAGGAACACCGGUGGCGAAGGCGGCAUCCUGGACCAACACUGACACUGAGGAGCGAAAGCCAGGGGAGCAAACGGG